CGAAAGAGCGAGCGCGACGACAGAGAGUCCCUCGGAAAUAUAUAAAAGAGCGGGGGAGUCGUGUUAUUCUUCUAAUAAAUCGGUCGACUUUAAGAGAGAGAGCGCGCGCCAAAAGCACCGGAAAUAAAUCGGGGCGCGGAAUUCGCGUGCGAAGAAGAGGUAAACGCCGCCCGAUGACGGAAUUUAAAAUAGAUACACAGAGUAGUAAAUUGUCGAACUCGAGUCGGACGACACCGGUGAGACGCGACGCGUCUUUUAGUGGGAGACGCUAAAAUUAGAGGUGCGAGUAGUCGCAGUUUCAGCCUUCGCGGUUCUCGCGUCUCUUCAACUUGGAACAUUUCCGAAUAGUUGUUUGGCCCGAUAAGAUCCGGUUGUUCCGAUCAGUUGCGCUCUAUCAGUCACUUCGAGAGAGAGGGACAAGAUUAUGGCCCGCAUCAGCUGGCGGCGAACGACAGAUCCAGAUUCCGCGGCUCGAUAAGCGAGACUUCCGGGACUCUUGGGAAAGGAGAGAUGCCUGCUCGUCGAUCGAUAAUCGCUCGAUCGUUAGCCGGAUACCUCGCCGCGGUCUGCAUCGUGUCGUUGCCGACGAGUUUGCUCGCGCAAGUGGAAGGAAGAAAGUGCGUGUGCACGAGCAAAGCCUGCAAGGAAGCCGGCGUGGAUACUUGUAAAACGAGAUUCUUCUGUUACACCGAGCGUAUUCUGACAACGGGAGAAGAAGUUGGUGAAAGUACGGUCACAAGAGGAUGCACAGAGGGGGCCACGCCAUUGUUGUGCGAGACAAAGUCCUGGGUGACGAGAUCGCGAUCUGUCAACGCCGUGGAACCACCUCGUGGAUCGCUGAUUCUCGUUCCCUGGCCGAAAUUAAAGUGCUGCGACAAUCGCGACUACUGCAACGCUGCCGACGAAGACGACGAAGACGAUGAUAAUGAAGAGAAGGACGAGAGGAAGAUGUUGGAGCGGACGCGUUCCGCGAUGGAUCGCGAGAUGUUGGACGGUCCGUUAACGAAUCGGGACGCGUCGGCGACGGAAGUGCAGCCUGACCGGAAGUACCACGAUUCGGACGGGGUCGUCCAACUUGUGAGCGAUCGCGUCAGGGCGCUGCACGUCGCCGCCCUAAUCCUGGCCAUCGCGGCCCUCAUAUCCGUCCUGGCGUCCUGCUACGUGGUUACAAGAUUCCUGAGGAGCAAUCGUUAUAUGACGGACGCUAUAAACAAUUACUCGUGAAUACGUAAUGCCGAAGACUUGUAUUUAAUUAAUAUUGUGAUUCUGACGGAGUUUUGUCUAAUUUGUGCGGUCUUUCCUCCAGUGGGACAAAUUAGGAUAUAUGUAUAGGGAUAACUGGAAUAUCAGGGAGGUCCCAGGGAAAAAGAGCCACGUCACAAGCGUGACGGACGAUUCGGACGAUAUUCGAGAUCCCCCAACCGAACGAGGCUUCCUGAAGAGCGCGAAGCAACUCCGACUCGUCGCGUCCUCCUUUGUUCUACAUUGUAUGAGUAACGGAGCAAUGUUGUAGCUCGCAUUCUUCGCUGCCGUCGAGCGAGGGACCCUUCGAGGGACGGGCGCCCAAGUGUACGCCAGGUGAACCGGGGCCCCAUCGCGGUCCCCAUCCCGGGGCCCCAACCCCCCGAGUUUCAACGUAAUUAGUCAUCCUCCCUCUUCCAGGUUAACGCAUACACACAUCCUGCCGAACGAAAUAACGGCGAAGAGAAAUAAUGUGUAUGCGCUCGCGACCGAAACGCUAUGUCAUCGUGAGAAAGAGAAAGAGGUUUUCAUCCAACGUAAAUAAAUUGAUGAAGAGAGCAAACGUACGAGUACAGUGAAGCCUCUGUCAGUUCUAGCAUAAUCGCGCGUUGAGCUUUUCGAAGGCAGCGCGCGAAUAUGUGCGAAGCUGCCAGAAGAUGAGAGAAUGCGUGAUGCGGAUCUCUCGGUAUCGAAACUGUACAUCAAAUUGUAAACACGUCGCAUAUUUCGAGAGUUUCAAUUAAUUGCGUUCUAUUGCAAUGAUUUUAAUUUUAAAAAUAUGAAAUUGUAUAAUAUUGAUAUUAAAAAUUGAAAAUCUUUUGCCAAGUUCUAAGGAAGCGUCCUUAUAAAUUGAUUAAGGAUAUGUCAAAAAUAGUGGCACGUUUUUAAUUUUUAAAAUUGUAAACGCAUCGCAUAUUUCGAGAGUUUAAAUUAAUUGCGUUCUACUGCAAGGAUUUUAAUUUAAA